CAGGAGCACCAGACUCCGGCAGGUUGCGAUAACUGGUCGUGUUCCACAGCGACAGUGUGGCGUCCUCACCAACGAUAGGUGGAACUCUAGGGUGGAAAAGGGCCCGUAGAGGUGACGCGGUGGGAAUAUAGCUUAUAGGACUGACUAGGUGCAGACCUCAGAGCGUUCCCCCCUUAACACACGCCAGGUUGAGCGGACACCGGUGUAACAAUAAUAAUAAUAAUAAUCAUAGAAUAGAUAUGAGGGGCCGUAAGAAGGUCAUGUCACGCCAAAACAUCUGGAGCGCACAAAUUACGUGCCACGACCGAGUUAGUCGCUAUCCGCAGGUGGCUAAGCCAACCGAAGGUAGUUAGGCGAACCGCGUAUUGAUUUAAUUGAGACUUUGGGUGUUGCCUGACUAGCGUAUAAGGCGCUUUCCGUUGUGAUUUGAGGAUGUUAGGUUGUCGUUCAUCUGUCGUUAGUCGGAUGAGCGUUACGCAUCCAGGGUAGGGCCGGGUGUGAUAAGGCCCGGCGUGGAUCAGUCGGUACUUCGCCAUAAAUGCGAGUGCGAAGAGGCCAAACAUUUGUCGUUUGGCUCUCGAAGCAACUCUUCGUGAGCGUAUAGACCAUNNNNNNNNNNNNNNNNNNNNNNNNNNNNNNNNNNNNNNNNNNNNNNNNNNAGGAGGCCAUGCCGUGGGCAGCUUAUCACGGCAUCCCCCCCGACGUCAGCCACCUCCACACCUUCAGCUGCCUGGCCUACGUCCGCAUCCACCCAGCCAGCAGGACAAACUCGGUCCUCGUGCAAAGGCGGAAACCCACCGCCGACCGGAGCAUGGCAUGGCCGCCCACAGCAUCCUCAUCGAGGGCAAGGUGACCGUGAGCAGCAACGUCACCUUCGAUGACAACCGCCACAGCCCGGUUCACAACGGGCGGGCACCCCCUUCAGCACUAGCCCCGCCUGCCCCGGUGGCAGCGACCCCAUCGGCGGCUCUACACCGCCCACCAAGCUGCCGACCCCAGUGGCCACCCCACCUCCGGUGACCCCAACACCACCCCUCCAUCCCAACACCCGCAGUCAACGGCAGUCCCUGCACACUCCCGCUGGUCCCGGUCAGUGACGGCCCGCCCCCCCCGACAGCAGCAGCAGCGGCGGCGGCGGAGAGUCGGGAAGUCCACCGGCGGUGGAGGCAACAGUGCAGAGCACACUGCCAACGACAUGCUGGUGAUGGCGGACAACCUGCAAGUGGUCGCGGCCACCAAGGCAGCCAUCGCCGGUUGCUUCACAGUGCGUGACCUUGGCGAGGCGCACUACCACCUCGGCAUGAAGAUCGUCCAGGAUGGUCGCAACCGCUGCAUCAUGCUCACGCAGCAGCGCUAUGUGGAGCAGCUGCUGCAGCGCCACAGCCUGGAGAAUGCCAAGCCGCGCGCCACCCUGCUGCCUCAGGGCAUGUGUGCUCUGCCAGCCAGCGACGCCCAGCCGACAGUGAUUGAUGGCAGCGGCUACCGUGUGCUGGUGGGCGAGCUGAAAUACCUCGCCACCAGCACGCGCCCGGACAUCAGUGUUUUUUUAAAGUAAUAUAUUCCUUUUAAGGAAUAAAGAGGCCAUUUUGGCCUUUGGAAAUAAGGAACAAAUUGAGGCCGAUCCGUACAUUUUCAUUCCUCGAGCCAAAAACGUCCAUUGCUGUCAGAUUGCUCCAUAGUGUGCAGAACUUAGUAUUAUCGAUCAUAGGGCGCCGUAGCUUAACUGGUAAAGCACCACCUUAACCGGUGGGAGAUUUUGGUUCGAAUCCCACCGGCGUCACCAUGGGUUGUGAGACUUGUUCACUGAUAGUAUAUCAGUAUAUCUGAGGCAUUCCUCAGGGCAACCCGUGGUGUAUGUGAUGACAAGUCCAUCACCAGAAGGCUAGGCGCCGAGGAGGAGGAGGAAAUGGCUGCACAAGGUCAAUGGAGCUGUCCAAGCAAAGUACCUACCAAGAGGCUACUGAAACAUGGCUAGGCCGAACCUCGCACGAGCCUUAGAUGGUGACCUCUAUGAGGGGUGCAGAAUCCCCCAGCGGGUGAAGCGGGUCGUAGGGGGCUAACUACCCUCCGCCAGGACAAAGCGCAGGGUGCUGUGUAGAGUGCAGUAGUGUAAGGGUAGGGAGGCGGUGCGACAUGCACGUGGCCUGAAGUUGUAACAGGAGCACCAGACUCCGGCAGGUUGCGAUAACUGGUCGUGUUCCACAGCGACAGUGUGGCGUCCUCACCAACGAUAGGUGGAACUCUAGGGUGGAAAAGGGCCCGUAGAGGUGACGCGGUGGGAAUAUAGCUUAUAGGACUGACUAGGUGCAGACCUCAGAGCGUUCCCCCCUUAACACACGCCAGGUUGAGCGGACACCGGUGUAACAAUAAUAAUAAUAAUAAUCAUAGAAUAGAUAUGAGGGGCCGUAAGAAGGUCAUGUCACGCCAAAACAUCUGGAGCGCACAAAUUACGUGCCACGACCGAG
rnacentral:lncRNA from 1 species